GAUGAACGCUGACAGAAUGCUUAACACAUGCAAGUCGAGGUAGCGGACGGGUGAGUAACGCGUAAAUAACUUGCCUCACAUCUAGGGACGACAUUUGGACACGAAUGCUAAUACCUAAUCCUGUGAGAGAGCUUUGCGUCCCAUUAGCUAGUUGGGGAGGGAACGGCUCACCAAGGCGAUGAUGGGUCGCCGGCCUGGGAGGGUGAGCGGCCAAAGUGGGAACGAGAAACGGGCCAGACUUCGACGGGGGGGAGCAGUGGGGAAUCUUCGGAAAUGGAGGAAAGGCUGAAGGAGCAACGCCGCGUGGGUUAUGAAGGCCUUCGGGUUGUAAAGCUACGUUAAGCGGGAAGCGGUACCGGAAUAGAAAGCAACGGCUAACUACGUGCCAGCAGCCGCGGUAAUAC
rnacentral:rRNA from 1 species